GAUGAACGCUGGCGGCGUGCCUAAUACAUGCAAGUCGAGCGAACAGAUGAGGUGCUUGCUCCUCUGACGUUAGCGGCGGACGGGUGAGUAACACGUGGAUAACCUACCUAUAAGACUGGGAUAACUUCGGGAAACCGGAGCUAAUACCGGAUAAUAUAUUGAACCGCAUGGUUCAAUAGUGAAAGACGGUUUUGCUGUCACUUAUAGAUGGAUCCGCGCCGCAUUAGCUAGUUGGUAAGGUAACGGCUUACCAAGGCGACGAUGCGUAGCCGACCUGAGAGGGUGAUCAGCCACACUGGAACUGAGACACGGUCCAGACUCCUACGGGAGGCAGCAGUAGGGAAUCUUCCGCAAUGGGCGAAAGCCUGACGGAGCAACGCCGCGUGAGUGAUGAAGGUCUUCGGAUCGUAAAACUCUGUUAUUAGGGAAGAACAAAUGUGUAAGUAACUAUGCACGUCUUGACGGUACCUAAUCAGAAAGCCACGGCUAACUACGUG
rnacentral:rRNA from 1 species